rnacentral:rRNA from 1 species
AUACGGAGGGUGCGAGCGUUACUCGGAGUCACUGGGCGUAAAGCGUCCGUAGGCGGUCGGGUAAGUCGGGUGUGAAAGCCCCGGGCUCAACCUGGGAAGUGCACCCGAUACUGCUCGACUCGAGUGCGGGAGAGGAUGGCGGAAUUCCCGGUGUCGCGGUGAAAUGCGUAGAGAUCGGGAGGAACACCAGUGGCGAAGGCGGCCAUCUGGCCCGCAACUGACGCUGAGGGACGAAAGCGUGGGGAGCAAACAGGAUUAGAAACCCCAGUAGUCC